CAAAGUAUUGUUUUGAGGCCAACCUACUGGAGGAUCCAAAUCAGAAGCUUGCGAGGGGAUUUCUUGCCAUUUCGCUCUACAGACGGGACAAACAUGGUUGCCAUGUUUCACACUUGAAGCAAUGCAGUGAAAGUGAAAGAAUACCUCAAGCUGUACCGUCGGCCCGAUCCUCAACUGUUGUCCAUCGUAUCUCAACAUGUACCAGUCCAUUCCUUGAAUCUAUCAGAUGAUACUUUUGGUUGAUACGUCCGUUGCGCACGAUGUCAGUCAGAUCGAUUUCUACAUACCCCAGUGAUUCCUGAAGAGAAUAUGAACCCAAUAUUCAGAACUAUGCUAUUGAAACCUUAAGAGUUCUCAAGGAUACUUGAACGUGGUAGCGGUGAAGAAAUUAUCCGAAAUUUGGAUUAAAGAACAAUUAAGAAGAGCAGAGUAUGUUACUUCUUUAAACGUAUUUUUUUUUUUUUUUGCGUCUACUAAUUGCCUUCUUAGCAAUCUUCACAUUUGACUGGAUCAUGGAUGUUAAUAGAUUUAUGUAGAACAAGAUUACAGUAAACAGUAAUCUGCAGAGGAAACUAAAUUUAACGUCAGCCUAAGCCAAUGCCAGUUGACAUGCCAAUAGAGUGAAAUAUUUAUAAAAAUUAGA